GAUGAACGCUGGCGGCGUGCCUAAUACAUGCAAGUCGAGCGAACAGACGAGGAGCUUGCUUCUCUGACGUUAGCGGCGGACGGGUGAGUAACACGUGGAUAACCUACCUAUAAGACUGGGAUAACUUCGGGAAACCGGAUCUAAUAUCCGAUAAUAUAUUGAACCGCAUGGUUCAAUAGUGAAAGACGGUUUUGCUGUCACUUAUAGAUGGUACCGGGCCGCAUUAGCUAGUUGGUAAGGUAACGGCUUACCAAGGCGACGAUGCGUAGCCGACCUGAGAGGGUGAUCGGCCACACUGGAACUGAGACACGGUCCAGACUCCUACGGGAGGCAGCAGUAGGGAAUCUUCCGCAAUGGGCGAAAGCCUGACGGAGCAACGCCGCGUGAGUGAUGAAGGUCUUCGGAUCGUAAAACUCUGUUAUUAGGGAAGAACAAAUGUAUAAGUAACUAUGCACGUCUUGACGGUACCUACUCAGAAAGCCACGGCUAACUACGUG
rnacentral:rRNA from 1 species